AGCUGGGGCAGAGCUAAUGGAGGCCCCAGCAUACUCCCAGCUGUAGAAGCAGCUGGGUAGAGAGGGGCAGCCCUGUUCUGUGGGAAGAUGGGAGCUGUGGGAAGGAGAUCAGCAGGGAACAAGGAGGCUUCUGGCUGCUUCUCCUGUGGCCCCUGGGCUGGCUGCAGGAAGGGGAAGUUGAUCUGGGCUCUUGGCUGCCUGGGAGGUGGUGCAACCGUGGCAGGCUCACAGAAGUCAGAGUGGAUCACAAAUACUAAAUGCAUGUCAAGGGAGAUGCUGGCUCCUAUAAAUGUAGAGUGACAUGUUGAGUCACAGGUACGCGAACUCUAUAUAAAGGCAAAGCGUUAUAUAGACAAGAGACUUGCCAUACUCUGUCAGAUCCGAGGUCCACCCAGCCCAGGACCCAGUGUCUGUCAGUGCGUGUCCAGCUGUGGGCUUCUCCAAAGCAUUCAGAGGACCUGCUUGAGCUCCUCCAUUGGAGUGGGAAGGAAAAUUCUCCUGCCUGGUAGUACUGCUGGCUGUGGCAGAGCCUCUGCAACACAUGGAGGUCAUCCAUUUCAAUGCAAAUCUGUGCCAGACCAGCCCAGGACCUUCUAAACUAAUGGCAGGCAAUCACUGUGUUUUGAUUUUCAGGACACUUUUUAAACAGUAAAUGAUCAUUCAUUAACACUUAACACCUGGAGUGAGGCGGUAGUGUUAGGUCUACUUUUUUUUUUGUUUUUUUUCCAUGCAUGUGGCUGAAGUAUAAAUUUAAUUUCUGAAACACUGCUUGUCAGACUAAAACUCCCUAAACCCCGUUACUAAAUGAGGUCAUUGAUCAGCUGGCCUGUCUUUGGCUGGGCUUGCAGUGGAGAGCAGUGGGCAGAAAAGGCCACUUUCUGAUGAGGACGCAGGCUCCGUGGCUGAAGCCUGCUCUGCCGGCUCUUAGGUGUGUGUGUCCAGGCUGGGUUCCCAGCCCAGCUGUAGCCAGCGGCUGCUGACAGAGCCUGGGAUCAUUGCAAGAUAGGAUGCUGGAAUCCGGCAUUGUUUCCAACUUUCUUUGUGUUUCACGUUCAUAAGACAAAUAUAUAUGUUGGGCUUGUGCCCACAUUUGGUUCUGCUGCAAAUCUCCGUCCAAAAUAAAUUAAUUGUAAGCAAAGGAAAAAGAGCACUCUCUCGAAUGCCUUUGAUCUCCAGUUAAGCAAGCCAGUAAGUGAGGCUUCAUACAACACAAUCCACUCAUCCGCUCUUCUGCUAAUAAUAAAAUGAGUAAAGCACAUUUUAAAAAUAGUCUAAAUCCAUACUUUCUCAAAAAAGCACAAAAGUUAAGAAGGAGUAAAAAGAUAUGAAAUCUAGACUAAAAGUAUCCUGGCUUGGCUUCAAAGCCUCUG